rnacentral:tRNA from 1 species
GCCCACGUGGUGAAAUUGGUAGACACGCCACCUUGAGGGGGUGGUUUCCUUUGGAUGUGCAAGUUCGAAUCUUGUCGUGGGCA